rnacentral:rRNA from 1 species
AACCUGGUUGAUCUUGCCAGUAGUCAUAUGCUUGUCUCACAGAUUAAGCCAUGCAAGUGAAAGUACAUAUGUAAAUAAUAUAUUGAAACUGCGAACGGCUCAUUAAAACAGUUAUAAUCUACUUGAUGUUUUUAAUAUAAGGAUAACUACGGAAAAUCUGUAGCUAAUACUUGUGAAAAUACCUUUUGAUAUAUACAUAUGUAUGUAUCAUUAAGGUAUGUAUUUGUUAGAUAUAAGAAUAAAAUAAAUAUAAUUGAAUUAUAACAAAGAAGAAACACAUAAAAUAUGUGUAUUAUCAAUCGAGUAUCUGACCUAUCAGCUUUUGAUGUUAGGGUAUUGACCUAACAUGGCUAUGACGGGUAACGGGGAAUUAGAGUUCGAUUCCGGAGAGGGAGCCUGAGAAAUAGCUACCACAUCUAAGGAAGGCAGCAGGCGCGUAAAUUACCCAAUUCUAAAAAAGAGAGGUAGUGACAAGAAAUAACAAUACAAUAUCGAAAAAUGAUUUUGUAAUUGGAAUGAUAGGAAUUUACAAGGUUCCUAGAGAAACAAUUGGAGGGCAAGUCUGGUGCCAGCAGCCGCGGUAAUUCCAGCUCCAAUAGCAUAUAUUAAAAUUGUUGCAGUUAAAACGUUCGUAGUUGAAUAUUAAAGAAUCCGAUGUUUCAUUUAAACUGGUUUGGGAAAACCAAAUAUAUUAUAUAUUUUGCUUUGUUCAAAAUAAGGUUUUCUAAUAAAUUAUGUUUUUAUCAGAUAUGACAGAAUCUUUUUUAAAAUCUCUUCAAUAUGCUUUUAUUGCUUUUGAGAGGUUUUGUUACUUUGAGUAAAAUUAAGUGUUCAUAACAGACGGGUAGUCAUGAUUGAGUUCAUUGUGUUUGAAUACUACAGCAUGGAAUAACAAAUAUGAAUAAGCUAAUUAUUUUUUUUUUUCAUAAUUUUUUUUGAUAUUCUUAUUAGCUUAGUUACGAUUAAUAGGAGUAGCUUUGGGGGCAUUCGUAUUCAGAUGUCAGAGGUGAAAUUCUAAGAUUUUCUGGAGACGGACUACUGCGAAAGCAUUUGCCUAAUCUAUUUCCAUUAAUCAAGAACGAAAGUUAAGGGAGUGAAGACGAUCAGAUACCGUCGUAAUCUUAACCAUAAACUAUACCGACUAGGUGUUGGAUGAAUAUAAAAAAUAUAUAAAUAUGUAGCAUUUCUUAGGGAAUGUUGAUUUUAUAUUAGAAUUGCUUCCUUCAGUACCUUAUGAGAAAUCAAAGUCUUUGGGUUCUGGGGCGAGUAUUCGCGCAAGCGAGAAAGUUAAAAGAAUUGACGGAAGGGCACCACCAGGCGUGGAGCUUGCGGCUUAAUUUGACUCAACACGGGAAAACUCACUAGUUUAAGACAAGAGUAGGAUUGACAGAUUAAUAGCUCUUUCUUGAUUUCUUGGAUGGUGAUGCAUGGCCGUUUUUAGUUCGUGAAUAUGAUUUGUCUGGUUAAUUCCGAUAACGAACGAGAUCUUAACCUGCUAAUUAGCGGUAAGUACACUAUAUUUUUAUUUGAAAUUGAAUAUAGGUAAUUAUACAUGUUUAUUCAGUGUUCAAAUUAGGAUAUUUUUUUAUUAAAAUAUUCUUUUCCCUGUUCUACUAUAAUAAUUUGUUUUUUUUUACUCUAUUUCUCUCUUCUUUUAAGAAUGUACUUGUUUGAUUAAAUAAAGCUUCUUAGAGGAACAGUGUGUAUCUAACACAAGGAAGUUUAAGGCAACAACAGGUCUGUGAUGUCCUUAGAUAAACUAGGCUGCACGCGUGCUACAAUGAUAUAUAUAACAAGUUGUUAAAAAUGUACUUAUAAAUAAGUGUGUACAGUUUUUCCUGUACUGAAAAGUAUAGGUAAUCUUUAUCAGUAUAUAUCGUAAUUGGGAUAGAUUAUUGCAAUUAUUAAUCUUGAACGAGGAAUGCCUAGUAAGCAUGAUUCAUUAGAUUGUGCUGACUACGUCCCUGCCCUUUGUACACACCGCCCGUCGCUCCUACCGAUUGAAAGAUAUGAUAAAUUGUUUGGAUAUGAAUUAAAAUAAUGAAAUUUUAUAUUUCUGAUUUUUUCUAGAAGAACUGUAAAUCCUAUCUUUUAAAGGAAGGAGAAGUCGUAACAAGGUUUCCGUAGGUGAACCUGCGGAAGGAUCAUUA